GACGAACGCUGGCGGCGUGCUUAACACAUGCAAGUCGAACGGAAAGGCCCUGCUUGCAGGGUACUCGAGUGGCGAACGGGUGAGUAACACGUGGGUGAUCUGCCCUGCACUUCGGGAUAAGCCUGGGAAACUGGGGCUAAUACCGGAGAGGAGCCAUCCUGAGUGUGAGGGUUGGAAAGUUUUUUCGGUGUAGGAUGAGCUCGCGGCCUAUCAGCUUGUUGGUGGGGUAGUGGCCUACCAAGGCGGCGACGGGUAGCCGGCCUGAGAGGGUGGACGGCCACAUUGGGACUGAGAUACGGCCCAGACUCCUACGGGAGGCAGCAGUGGGGAAUAUUGCACAAUGGGCGCAAGCCUGAUGCAGCGACGCCGCGUGGGGGAUGACGGCCUUCGGGUUGUAAACUCCUUUCGCUAGGGACGAAGCUUUUUGUGACGGUACCUAGAUAAGAAGCACCGGCUAACUACGUG
rnacentral:rRNA from 1 species